rnacentral:tRNA from 1 species
GGGGCGGUAGCUCAACCUGGUAGAGCAUCGGACUUUUAAUCCGAUGGUUGCGGGUUCGAAUCCCGUCCGCCCCG